CCAGAACAGGUGAAUUCAUGGAAAAAAUGUGGAGUAGCGGUUGUCAGGGGUUGGGGGAGGGGGCGUGAAGAGUGACUGCUAAUGGUGACAGGGCUUCUUUUGGGGGUGAUGAAAAUAUUCUGGAAUUCAAUAGUGGUGAUGGUUGCACAAUUUUGUGAAUAUACUAAAAACCACUUAGUUAAAGACUUUAAAGGGGUGAAUUUAUGGUAUAUGAACUAUAUCUCAAUAAUAUAUAUCAUUAUAUUUAUAUAUAGUGUGUAUACGUACUAUAUAUGUGUACAUAUAUACAGUAUAUAUACUGUGUAUGUGUGUGUACAUGUGUGCAUGUCUGUGUAUGUGUGUGUACGUGUGUGUGCGUGUGUGUGCAUGUGUGUGUGUGCAUGCGUGUGUGCAUGUGUGUGUGUGUGUGUGCAUGCGUGUGUCUGAAAAAACAGUACUUUGAGCCACGCUGGCCUUGGUUUGGUUCCUGGCUCUGCCAUUGUACCUUGUGACUUUGGACAAGUCACUGCACCUAUCUGAACUCCACAUUCUCUUUCUAUAAAAAGCAGAUAGUGGCUGGGCGUGUGGCUCCCACCAUUUUGGGAGGCCAAGGCAGGAGGAUCACUGGAGCCCAGCAGGUUGAGGCUGCAGCGAGCUAUGACCACAUCACUGCACUUCAGCCUGGAUGACAGAGGGAGACACUGUCUCAAAAAACAACAAUGGCUGGGCGUGGUGGCACACGUCUGUAACCCCAGCUACUCAGGAGGCUGAGGUGGGAGGAUCGUUUGAGCUGAGGAGGCAGAGGUUACAGUGAGCCAAGAUCGCAGCACUGCAUUCCAGCCUGGACAACUGAGUGAGACCCUGUCUCAAAGGAAAAAAAAUUAAAAAAUAAGGCCGAGUGAAGUGGUUCACACCUGUAAUCCCAGAACUUUGGGAGGCUGAGGCAGGUGGAUCAUCUGAGAGAUGGAGUCUCUCUCUCUCACCCAGGCUGGAGUGCAGUGGCACAAUCUCAGCUCACUGCAACCUCCACCUCCUGGGUUCAAGCGAUUCUUCUGUCUCAGCCUCCCAAGUAGUUGGGAUUACAGACAUCCACCACCACGCCUGGCUAAUUUUUUUGUAUUUUUAGUAGAGACAGGGUUGCACCAUGUUGGCCAGGCUGGUCUCAAACUCCUGACCUCAGAUGAUCCACCCUCCUUGGCCUCCCAAAGUACUGGGGUUACAGGUGUGAGCCACCACACCCGGCCAUGGGAGGCAUUUCUAUGGACUCAUGUGUCCUCUUGCAGGCGACUCUGUGUCCGUGGCAUGCAGUAUGUGUGUGCGUGCGUGUGAACAUGUCCAUGUCUCCAGCUGUGAAUAUGACUGCAUAGCGGGGUGUGAGCGUGUGUAUGCGUUUCAGCCUGUGAGUGUAGGUUCAGACACAGGCCAUCGUGGGCACCCUGGGGUGAGCACGCACCCAACUUCACGAGUCCGGCCUGGGAAGCGUGUCUGCCUGCAACCUGCGGUGGGCACUGCCAACUCUUCCACUCACCGUCGUCCAAGGAAUACACACAUGUAUCCUGGCAUCCAGUCCUGAGUGUGGGAGCCCAGAACGGCCCGUGCCAGCUGACUGAGGCUUGGUGCCCUGUGACUACUCCUUCCUGACCCAGCGUGAACUUGAAGGGGUCUGGGGAGCUGGGGGUGUUGCAUCCCCCGGGUCCUCUCAACCCAGAGUUUUCCCCAGAGACUGACCAGCCAGACACCGACAAUUCAAGACUCCUAGCCAGGCUGUGGCUCCUCCAUUCUGAGCCUCAGUCUCUUCUUUGGGAAGAUGGGACAACAGCAUCUUCCUCACGGGGCCACAGUAAGUUUAUAGGUGUUUACAGUUGAGUCCCAGAGAAGACUGAAUCAACCUAGCUGCUAUUAUUAAUUCAAUGAAACAGCAUCCUUCAAAGCCAGUUCCUGUACUUCCCUGGCUUCGGUCAGGGAGACCGUGGAAUACUUUCAUAAAUGACAACAACAAUAACAACUGCAAGAGUACUAACAAUAGGAGAGGGCCGGGCGCGGUGGCUCCCGCCUGUAAUCCCAACACUGUGGGAGGCCGUGGCUGGAGGAUCACUUAAGGCCAGGAAUUUGAGACCAGACUGGGUAAUAUAGUGAGACCCUAUUUCUUUUCUUUUUUUUCUUUUUUUUGAGAUGGAGUCUCUCUCUGUCGCCCAGGCUGGAGUGCAGUGGCGCAAUCUCAGCUCACUGCAAGCUCCGCCUCCCGGGUUCACGCCAUUCUCCUGCCUCAGCCUCCCGAGUAGCUGGGACUACAGGUGCACGCCACCACACCCAGCUAACUUUCGUAUUUUUAGUAGAGACAGGGUUUCACCCUCUUGGCCAGGCUGGUCUCGAACUCUUGACCUCACAUGAUCCGCCCACCUCGGCCUCCCACAGUCCUGGGAUUACAGGCGUGAGCCACUGCGCCCAGCCUUCCACAUCUUUUGUGGGGAAGACAAUUCAAACCAUAACAGGCAUAAGCCACCACGCCCAGCUAAAUCUAAAAUUUUUAAAUGAAUGAUCUUUUAAAAAUUGGGGAAAAAAAACCAUGAUUCUGGAAGUACAUUGAAGGAAGCCGGUCAAGGAAUCUAUAUUUCAGGGUCUGUUGUUUGUUUGUUUGUUUGUUUUGAGACAGGGUCUCACUCUGUCACCCAGGCUGGAGUGUGGUGGUGCCAUCACAGCUCACUGCAGCCUCAAUCUUCAGGGCUCAAGUGCUCCUCCCGCCUCAGGCUCCCAAGUAGCUGGGACCACAGGCCCACACCACCAUGCCCAGCUAAUUUUUAAAUUUUUUUGUAGAGAUCUGGAUCUCUCUAUGUUUGCCCAUGCUGGUCUCAAACUCCUGGGUUCAGGGAUUCCUCCCCACCUCCCCCAAGCCUCCCAAAGUCUUGGGAUUACAGAGAGUGAGCCACAGGGCCGGCCCAGGAAUCUAUAUAUCAUUUAACCUCCUCAACAAUCUAUGAGCUAGGUAGCAUUAUCCCCCAUUUUUCAGAGGGAGAAACUGAGGCACAGACAGGUGAAGGUCCUGGCUGAGGGUCCCACCACUGGGGCCCCUCCAUGCCCUGUCUCCACUUGGGGCUCAGGAGCCUGAGAUCCUGCUGCACAGUUCUAGAGACCGAGGAGCAAGAAUGGAACAAUCCGGAUGGAGACAGACCAUCCGAUCCCCGGGGGCAUAGCCCUCCGAGCUGGCCUCGCCUCCCUACCCUACGAGGUUGACCAACGAAGAGCCAGAGACUGGGAGCGGUGGCUCAGACCUGUAAUCUCAGCAUUUUGCAGGCCAAGUCGGGCGUGAGGUCAGGAGUUUGAGACCAGUCUGGCCAACAUGGUGAAACCCCAUCUCUACUAAAAAUACAAAAACUAGUGGGUGUGGUAGUGGGUCCUUGUGGUCCCAGCUACUCAGGAGAAUCGCUUGAACCCAGGAGGUGGAGGCUGCAGGGAGGCGAGAUCGUGCCACUGCACUCCAGCCUGGGCGAUGGAGUGAGACUGUCUCAAAAGAAAGAAAAAGAAAAGCCAGAGCUUUUCCAGGCCGCCGCUAGGCGCACCCUUGCCCCACCUGGUCCUUCCCCACCUGGAGCCCCCUUGGGUUUUGGCCCCACAUGUUCUCCCGCACCCCAAU
rnacentral:lncRNA from 1 species